UGAGUCACGUGACUCGUUUUUCUCACAAACGAGCUUCUCUCUCUUCCUUCCUUCAUCAAAUUUCUCUCGAUCUCUCUUUCUCAACGCGACGCCGCUGCUCGCCGCCACUCGCCGCCGAUGGACCUCACAACGCCACACCCGUAUCUCUCGUUUUGAACAUCACCGCCUCCUUCUCUGUUCAAUUUCAUGAGUUUGGAUCUUUUCUUCUUUUGAACAUCAACGCCACACCAGGAACAAGGUACUGGUGUAGCAGUAGUUGAAGUGUAAAUGAACUAGGCACUGCUACUGAACUAGGCACUGCUGAAAUUGGCAAAUGAACUAGGCACUGCUGUCCAAGACCAGUUAAAUGAAAUUGGUACUGGUGUCGAAAACUAGCGUGAAAUUCUGUCGAAGACUAACUGAAAUUGGCAAAUGAACUAGGCACUGCUGUCCAAGACCAGUUAAAUGAAAUUGGUACUGGUGUCGAAGACUAGCGCGAAAUUCUGUCGAAGACUAACUGAAAUUGAUGCUUAGUUUAAUGUAGUUGUAAUCUGCGACAAAGCUCACUGGUGCUUAGUGUGUAUUCACUAUGCUUACACAUUGUAAAUGAAAGAACUUGGCACUGCGUUGAUUUUGUCGAAGAUGUAGAUUGUAAAUGGGGGUUAGCUCUAUUUGUAGAGUGAUUCACAUUGUAAAUGGGAAUUAGCUCUAUCUUUGUACAAAUUGUAAUUAUCAUCUUAUAUUAAAUGAAAAAGUUUGAUUGAAUUGCCUCAAUACAUCCCUAUAAGAUAAGAGUUUUCUUCUUUGCUCAUCAAAGGCAGGAUCAGAAAGAAAUCUGAAUCUUCCUACGCACGGGACGUGCGUUAUAUGUCGUCGGGGGCGUUGGAUGGAUAGACUCGACUCAAAUUGUAUUAAACGCAAAGGGAGAUUCACAACAAGAGGAUUUGAGGGCAGAGAAAUUCAUGAGACGCAGAGAGAGAUGCAGUGAGAAAGAUGAGAGGGCUCAUGAAAUGAGAAGAUGCGGUGAGAAAGAUGAGACGAUAGGGACGCGAAGGAAGUUUAUGGGUCAGCGGAGGUUUCCCGGAACAGAGACGUCGGUGGAAGGCGGAGAUGAGGAGAAGAGCGGCAUAAGCAAAGAGACAACGGGUAAGAAGAGAAAGUGUUUUUACGUGAAGGAAGAAUUUUGAGGAGAGAGAAAGUGAAUAGUAAUAAUAAUGACACAUCACAGUGGCACAUGACUCAUUUAAGUGGUAUUCUAAUCCUACUCCUUCAUUUAAAUCUAAGGGUUGUAAUUCAUUCUC